rnacentral:lncRNA from 1 species
GGGGGAUAUGAACAGGGCGGGACCUAAGUUGACCAAUCGAAGCAUACUAUAGCUUCCGGACCCUAUUGGAUUGGCUGUUGAUACCUAGCAGUGUACCUAGCAUGAUUGGUAGCUUGCUAGGACCCUCAUGAGGGUGAAGCUAGCGUGGCUAUCCAAAUGAUCAUGUUCAGUGGAUAUCCCCCCGACACUGCCAGUCCCCCUGUCCACACUUUAGAAGAGGAGGAGGGCUUCAGACAACGCACUAACCUGCCAGGAUAGCACGGUCACAGUAGGGUGGUUAACUACCUACAUUUCCCCAAAGAGUGUCCGGAGUGCCACACACACAGAAGAGGAUUUACAAUCUUCUGAUGUGGACAUCGCAUCUCAACUAUGAGAGGAGAAACAGAACAGAGCAGGAGUAACACGGUUCUGUCAGUUUCACAUCGGUUCCACCAUGAUUAGAACCGGCUGGAGUCUGGGUUCUCUCUCUUUUGCCAGUCAGACCUCGGUAGAACUCAACUCUAGUUUGGACGGUUCUGCCAGAACCUACGGUCUGAGCUGUGCGUUUUGUGAUGAUGUGUUCAGUGUGUGUGUGUGUGUGAUCGAGUUGUGUUAGACGAUAUGAGGCAUUAAUAUUCGCUCUCAGCCAUCUGUGUGUUUGGGUCUGCCAUUGUGUGUACUUGAACAGUACUACGUUGAACAGCACGAGCGGCCAUGUUUGCUUCUAAAUGUCAGCCUGUCCCAGACGAGGCUUGAACACAUAGUGGAAUGCAAUGUCUUGCAUUUAAAGAAAAGACAUCCAUGUCCUCAGUAAAGAUUGAGGUUUUAGACUGGGUUUCUGUAUAGCACUUUGUGACAUCUGCUGAUAUAAAAAAGGGCUUUAUAAAUACAUUUAAUUGAUUGAUUGAGGAGAGACUGCUGGAAACUGUUACACUGUUAACAUGUUGUUCUCUUCAGGGAAAACUUGACCUCUGCAAUUUGUCAAUGCUAUGGGUCAGCAAAUGCGAUGUCAUGUCCACACUGUAAUAUGCAUGACAUGACAUUGUCCUUUCUUGAGUCACUGAGGUGUGGUUGGCUAGUAACUAAAUGUAAAUCCAGUCUCUCACUCACUCGCUCCCACGCACGCACGCACACACACACACACACACUCAUACACACACAGUAGAGGUUGGAUCACACCGUCCUCUAUAUCUAUAGAGGAGGAGGAGGGAAGGACUACUAAAUGGAUGUAGGGAGGGGAGGAGUUGACGGAAUGUAUUAUUUAUUGUUUGAUUAGGGCCUUGUUCUACCCUAUUGUAAUCCUGUUGUUCUGGAGGGCUGACAGAAAAGUGUUUUGCAAAUUCCCUCCCUCCCUCCCUGCGUUGCAUGAUGAAUGUUGCCUUAAGCAGACAGAAGUGAGGUUUAUAAAUGCAUUGUGCCCCGAACAUUUCAAAAUCAAGUUGAGAGGGGAAGAAAAAUUACCUCAGGAAAAUAGCUAAACCUGAGCAAUAAAAAACUCUUAAUCUUACCUUGAAAGCCGCCCGACGAUAGAGGUGGGUGCCUCCCUUUGGAAAGAAAAACAGGACUGCAGAUUAUUUCCAUUUGAAAGAACAUGCCAAAUUACAGAAAUGUGUUUUCAAUCGCUCUCUUUCACAAGCGGCAACAGAUGGAUGGAGGCUGUGCGUGCCUGCAUGUGCGUGUGAGCAGAUUGUGUGUGUGUGUGUCAGCAGAUCAUGUGUGUGAGCAGAUCGUGUGUGUGUGUGUGUGUGUGUGUGUGUGUGUGUGUGUGUGUGUGUGUGUGUGUGUGUGUGUGUGUGUGUGUGUGUGUGUGUGUGUGUGUGUGUGUGUGUGUGUGUGUGUGUGUGUGUGUGUGUGUGAGAGCAGAUCAUGUGUGUGUAUGCUGCUACAUGGAACCAACCAGCAGCCCGCUGCAGCCAACGACUUCCAGUCUCUUCCACAAUCAGAUACAGAAUUAAUAAAUCGACCACAGAGUUCUCAUUCAACAACUCCAAAGACAAGGUCAAUGUAACCAGCUGUAUUGUUAGGUUUCUCAGCCAUCUUCUCUUAUUUGAAUGCCAGCUAUGAAUAUGUAACAUUGGCACUGGUUGGCUUUACUUUUCUGCUGCCUGUUUGGGAGCUUAUUGUCUCUACAAAAGCUAGCUCAGGGCAACAAUCAGUGUCAAGCAACAACGAUCUGUAUCACAUGAAUGAGAUUUAAAAAAACAGGAGACAUUUUUAGAGCUGGUCUUCAAAAAAAGCAACAGUCAGUGACCAGGAUGGUGAACCAGGUCCAGAUAUGGCACACUGACAUGCCAAACAAGAGCAUAUCCUGGAAUGACGAUGACGACAAAGAUGAGGAUGAUGAUCAUGAUGAUGACAACAAUGUUGAUGAUGUGAUGACACACUCCUGUUCCCCAGAGAGAGCGAAGUAAAAACAGCCGGACUGAGCAUCUGCUGCAGUGCAACUUUGAAUCACAUGGAAGGCUUGAAUCAAGAGCAGUAAUCAAGGAGCUGUCAGACUGACGAGGGCCAUUUGAUCAGGUGAGGAGAGAAAAGAUGGAGCCCUCCAUCCCCUCCUUCACCUCCAUGACCUCCAUCACCUCCAUACCUCCUUCACCCCCAUCCCUCCUUCACCUCCUUCAGCAGACAAAUGCAAAAUGUCCCC